rnacentral:misc_RNA from 1 species
AACGCACCUUGCGCCCCUUGGUAUUCCGAGGGGCACACCCGUUUGAGUGUCGUGAAAAUCUCAACCUUCUCGGUUUUCUUCUGGACACCGAAGGAGGCUUGGACUUUGGAGGCCUUUGCUGGCGUCUCUCUAGAGCCAGCUCCUCUUAAAUGAAUUAGCGGGGUCCUCUUUGCCGAUCCUUGACAUGUGAUAAGAUGUUUCCAUGACUCGGUUUCUGGCUCUGUUGCAUUUGGGACCUGCUUCUAACCGUCUCGACGAGACGACGUUUGUGCGUGUCUCCCUUCUCGGGAGACUCUCUCGACCCCACGAACCCUUGACCUCAAAUCGGGUGAGACUACCCGCUGAACUUAA